AUUUCAUCAAAAUUUUUAUAUCCCAAUUAAAAAAAAAUCCGAUCAGUUCCUUUCGAAGUACAAAAGACGCAUAAAUGGAAAACCCUAGUUCCAUUUCUUCAGAAAAACGACAAAAAAUAACGAAAUAUUACUUAAGUUGAAACCAAUUUAUCAAUCAACGACUCGUUGCUUAGAAUUUACUGGAAUUGGCCGGAGCUUACUCUCGUUUGAAAGUUUGGAGCUGAUUCAAUCUCGUAAUGGAGGUUUCAGAGCUAUUGAUAUGCGAGGGUGACGAUGCAUGGCAUUUUGAUUUAUAUUGUGGUAUCUAGACAUUGGAUGGUGUUCUCAAUUUUUUCAUCAAGAGAAAGGCAUCCUUUGAUUGGAGGGGAGAAACUGGACUUGUUUCUCUUGUAUUUUUUGGUUACACAAAGAGGAGGAAUAGAAAAGGCAAUUGUUGACAACAAGUGGAGAGAGGUAAUUACAGAACUCAACAUACCGAGGACUGUGACCAACAGGUCCUUUGUGGUGAAGAAGCACUAUUAUAAGAUUCUGUUCCAUUAUGAACAGGUCUAUUUCUUCCGGCGUCAAGGACCUGUUGUUGCUCCAUCGGGAAAUCAGCCAGGGAGUGAUCAUGGUCCUCAGAUUGUUGACAACUCGAGGCUCGUUAUAGCAGAAGUUGCACCUCUUCCUGAAAAUGAGGAGCGUAAUCGUAUCACAGGAUCAGGCUCUAACCCGCAUGCUUCUCUAGAUAAUGACAAUGAGACUGCAGCAUAUGCAGAUGUUCCAUCUGAACCCAAUCUUGGGUUACAUGCACCAAGUGGGGAUGCAUCACCUAUUAGGGAAAAUGAACCUGUUGAGGCAGAAUCUCCUCCAGCAAAUAGAGAUGCCCAUGGCAGUGGAGAAAAUAUGCCAGCUGGUCCACAAAACUUGCCUGAGAUGCUACAGCAGGUGCAGACCCUCUCUGGAGCAAACAUUCCUGCAUCUUCGUUCACUUCAUCAUCUGAUCCUGGAGCGCUUCCAACACCUUGUAGGACCGCUUUCUGCAUAUUUUUUGAGGAAAAGUUAAUCCGGAAUCUUCCAUUCCCUGAUAUGAUAGAACAUUUCAGGCAUAUUCAAGAAGCAUGGGCUAUGUUCUCUGAAGAAGAGAAAAGGAUGUAUAUUAACCGAGAAAGUAUGGAGAAGGAAAGGUACAAAAAGGAGUUGGAAGCAUAUGAGGAGAGGAUUAGACUUGUGCAAUCACAGCAAGCUCCAAGGAAUAGUGCAGCUGAGCGGGAGAACAACAGAUGACUAACCUAGAUGGUGCUGAUUCAAUCUUGUAGUGGAGGCUUUAGAGUUAUGAGUAUGCAAGUGGUCUCAGAGUGUUUUUUUUAAACUGGUGAUAGAGUACUGACCCAGAAGAUGCAGUUUAAGCAAUGAGAACUUGAAGAGAUCGAUGCUCUCUGAAGACCGGUUCAAAGCAGAAGAAUGGACGCAAGGAUGAUAAUGCAUGGGAUUUUAUUUAUAUUGAGCUGCACAAACAUUGGAUAGUAUUCUCAAUUUUUUCUUGAAGAGAAAGGGGCAACCUAUCACUUCAAAUGUUGCUGCCUAUGACAAUGCAUCACCUAUUAGAGAGAAUGCACCCGUUGAGGCACAAUCUCCUCCAACGAAUAUAUAUGCCCAUUGCAAUGGAGAAAAUACGCCAGCUGAUAAUAUGAUCGUUCUAAAGUUAAAGGGUAAUUAAUUAAAGAUAUCCCAAAGGUCUGCAUGAUUUUCAAAAUUAUCUUCUGAGGUUUUCAAAGUGACAGUUUGAGUCCUCCAUUUCAAUUUUUCUGAUCUUAAUUUUGAUGUGGAAAAAAAAACCCACACCAGUAUAAACAGGUACAUGAUUAUUACAUUGAAAAUGGGUAAUUAUUUGACAAAGAUUUUAACAUUCUUUCAAACAGGUACAUGAUUAUUGCAUUGAAAAUUGGUAAUUAUUUGUCAAGAAAUUUAACAUUCUCUCGGCAGCAAACUUUCCUGCAACUUUAUUCUCUUCCUCUUCAUUCUCUUCCUCAUCCAAAACAAGAAGCCUUGUACGACCUCUUUCAUAUAUUUUUCGAGGAAAAGCUUAUCCGAAAUCUUCCACUCCUUGAUCUGAUAGAGCAUUUCAGGCAUAUUCAAGAAGUUAUGCUUUCAGAAGCGGAUCAAGCGUAAUAAGGUCAACUUUUAUUGCACAUUUCAGGCAUAUUCAAGAAGUUAUGCUUUCAGAAGCGGAUCAAGCGUAAUAAGGUGUAUAAUAAGCGAGAAAUUUGGAGAAGGAAUGGUAUAAAAAGGAAUUGGAGGAGUGGGAGAAGAGGGUUAGACUUAAUCCAAUCAAGCUCCAAGGAUGUUCUGGUAGUGGAGUAUAAUAUGCAUAUUCUUAUGGGAAAGUAAACCGUACUUGGUGACUUAAUCCAAUCAAGCUCCAAGGAUUUACUGAUAAUGGGUUAUAAUAUUGUCUAUUCUUAUGGGAAAGUAAACCAUAUUUGGUGCUAUGUCACUUAGAAUCCAUUCUUAUAUUUGUAAAUGGUAUUUGGCUUGUAAAUGUUUAGAAUCAAUAAAGAUGAGAAAGAUAGAGUUU